rnacentral:rRNA from 1 species
AACGAACGCUGGCGGCAGGCCUAACACAUGCAAGUCGAGCGAGGACUUCGGUCCUAGCGGCGGACGGGUGAGUAACGCGUGGGAACGUGCCCUUUGAUUCGGAAUAGCCCUGGGAAACUGGGAGUAAUACCGGAUGAGCCCUUUGGGGGAAAGAUUUAUCGGCGAAGGAUCGGGCCGCGUUGGAUUAGGGAGUUGGCGAGGUAAUGGCCUACCAAGCCGACGAUCCAUAGCUGGUUUGAGAGGAUGAUCCACCACACUGGGACUGGGACACGGCCCAGACUCCUGCGGGAGGGAGCAGUGGGGAAUCUUAGACAAUGGGGGAAACCCUGAUCUAGCCGUGCCGGGUGGGCGAUGAAGGCCUUAGGAUUGUAAAGCUCUUUCAGCUGUGAAGAUAAUGACGGUACCAGCAGAAGAAGCCCCGGCUAACUCCGUG